GAUGCUAUUCUAGAGAUAGAAAGUUACUUCGGUACAUCGGUGACAGGUGUGCAUGGUUGUCGUCAGCUCGUGUCGUGAGAUGUUGGGUUAAGUCCCGCAACGAGCGCAACCCCUAUUGUUAGUUGCCAUCAUUCAGUUGGGCACUCUAGCGAGACUGCCGGUAAUAAACCGGAGGAAGUGGGGAUGACGUCAAAUCAUCAUGCCCCUUAUGACCUGGGCUACACACGUGCUACAAUGGUUGGUACAACGAGUUGCGAGUCGGUGACGGCGAGCUAAUCUCUUAAAGCCAAUCUCAGUUCGGAUUGUAGGCUGCAACUCGCCUACAUGAAGUCGGAAUCGCUAGUAAUCGCGGAUCAGCACGCCGCGGUGAAUACGUUCCCGGGCCUU
rnacentral:rRNA from 1 species